rnacentral:lncRNA from 1 species
ACAAGCGAAGCGAGGGCGCAAGCCAGCGCGCCCGACGGGGACGGCUGAGCGUGACCCGCCGUGCCGCAGGUGCUGACUCCAGCCGCCGCAGACCCUCGCUUGGCGCUGACUCGCCAACGCCCAAAUCCACUCAGGACAGCCAAACAAUUUACCCAGUGACUCAUGAAGAUUGAGAUAUGGAUAAAAGCUAACUGCCUAUCUGUCCAGAAGUGGCUGAGAAGCUGUAAAAGACUGAAAUAGCCAGGAUUUGGAGAUGGGACUUCAGACUGUUCUUAAUAAAAGACUCGCCAGGAAUGUGCA